GACGAACGCUGGCGGCGUGCUUAACACAUGCAAGUCGAACGAUGAUGCUCCAGCUUGCUGGGGUGGAUUAGUGGCGAACGGGUGAGUAACACGUGAGUAACCUGCCCCCUUCUUCGGGAUAAGCUUGGGAAACUGGGUCUAAUACUGGAUAUUCUGCAAUUGUCGCAUGGUGGUUGUGGGAAAGAUUUUUUGGUGGGGGAUGGGCUCGCGGCCUAUCAGCUUGUUGGUGGGGUGAUGGCCUACCAAGGCGUCGACGGGUAGCCGGCCUGAGAGGGUGACCGGCCACACUGGGACUGAGAUACGGCCCAGACUCCUACGGGAGGCAGCAGUGGGGAAUAUUGCACAAUGGGCGCAAGCUUGAUGCAGCGACGCCGCGUGAGGGAUGACGGCUUUCGGGUUGUAAACCUCUUUCGAUGGGGAACAAGGCCAUAUUUUUGUGUGGUUGAGGGUACCUGUAGAAGAAGCGCCGGCUAACUACGUG
rnacentral:rRNA from 1 species